rnacentral:rRNA from 1 species
AACGAACGCUGGCGGCAUGCUUAACACAUGCAAGUCGAACGGUUUUAUGAAGCUUGCUUCAUAAGAUAGUGGCAGACGGGUGAGGAACACGUGGGAACGUACCCUAGGGUUUGGAAUAACAGUUGGAAACGACUGCUAAUACCAAAUAUUUCCGAGAGGAGAAAGGUUUACCGCCUUAGGAGCGGCCCGCGUCCAAUUAGGUAGUUGGUGAGGUAAAAGCUCACCAAGCCGAUGAUUGGUAGCUGGUUUGAGAGGAUGAUCAGCCACACUGGGACUGAGACACGGCCCAG